rnacentral:lncRNA from 1 species
CCAACAUUAAUCCCCCCACCUCCUCUUUUUUUGCAUAACAUGUUAUUUUCCAUGCAAAAAAGAAGAUUAUCAUCUAAUCUCUCACCUCACACUCAUCUCCUUCUCUCUAUCUCAUUGUGUUAACAAAAAUUAUGAGGAUAAUGAAGAAGAAAAGCAUGCGAAGAACAUUGUCUCCUUCAAAAAGUAUUGUCCUGUAAAGUCCAGCCGUGGCCCAUAUAAGUGCUCGCGCAGACCGGUUUGCGCCGAAGCCCUCGCUCGCCGUGAAUCGUCGCCACCUCGGUUGUCUCCUCGCGCGGCUCGCGCACGCCCACACUAGGCCGAGGGGAGCGGCGUCCUAGCCUCUUCUUCGCGGGGACGUUGUGCGGGAGCUCGCUUCUCAAGAAUCGCAGGGACUUCUUGGUAAAUCAAAUUGUUUAAGUAUUAGGAUUUCUGUGGUUGAUGUGAUGGCAAGACUGUAUCGAUUUAGAUAUCGCAGUUUGGUGAUGCAGAUGGGGUGUUUGUUCAUGGGUUACAAUAGAAAUUCAGAAGUGACUCGACGUGGGAAGCAAUUACCAGCUGAAAAUUAAGAAGAUGUAUAAGGUUUGGAUGAGUAAGAGAAGUGCUCCAAAAAAGUAUUAGUUUUUUUAAGAUUGAUGUUUUUUGUUUUAUUUUCAUCUUAUGACCAUUUUUUUGAGUAAACAUUGUUGUGGGCAAAAUUCCUUUCGUAGAUUAAAAAGUAUGAUGUGGAGACUGGAGUCUGAGACCCCACUAAAAAUUUUCUUAAGCCAGAAACGUUAAGUUAUUAUUUAUGUAUUUCAUAUGCUUCUAGCUAUAAUUUUAUUUUUUAACAAUUGAAUUUAGUCAUACAAAUUGACUAUGCUUAACAUGGUAUAACUUCCUAUAAGCUGUAAAUAUAAAUUUUAUUAAAAUUUUAAAAAUUUAUUUUUAUUAUUUACCCGCUGCAUCGCGCGGGUCUCUACUCUCUACACUAGUAUAUAUAUAUAGAGCUAGGCUGGUAUACUAUCGGUAGCACGGAAGCCUCCGUGCUACCAAGUUGUUUUCAAUGAUGUAGCUUCCAAAUCGAUGAUCGGCUCCGUUAGACCUGAUCUACACUAUUAGAAGUAUUUGGAAACUGAAUUUCACAAUUUUUCGACAUCAUUUGGCUAGUGAUCAAAAGAUCUCAAAAUUGACAAUUUUAAUGGUAGAUUUAAUGUGUUUGUAAAUUUAAGGGUGUAAAGCAAUCCAAAU